rnacentral:ncRNA from 1 species
CACUAUUCCAGGCUUAGUCCAAUGGUACACACUCUGACUGACUGCCUGGCAUGUCUUUCCUCACCUUGGCUGGAAGGUCUGGGUAAUCUUGUGAAACUCUGUCAUGCUGGGGAUAGAGCAUUGCAAUUAUUGCUCUUCAAUGAGGAAUACCUAGUAAGUGUGAGUCAUCAGCUUGUGUUGAUUACAUCCCUG